CUGAGAUUAGGUUGUUUCCCAGGGAUGUACUAAUGCAAGGUGGGAAGCAGGUGAAUCUUGUGUUACUUUGAUUGCUGUGCCCGUGUUUGGAUGACUAAAGGCAAGAAGAGCCAGACACUAGGGGCAGGGAGAAUGAAAUAGUGGGCCUAGGUUCUCCACAAGUGGUGCGUGGGUGUAGAUAUCAGAGGGGUGCGCUUGCUCCCCGAGGUGGUGCUGAGCAGAAGACAGGUGGUGAGGGCCUGCUGGUUAGGUCGGAUAGAUCUGGCACCUGGAACAAGGACACAGGACUGGCCACAGCGACAGGCAUCCAGAGCUGCUGCUAGCCCCCGAGUAGCUUCCUGGUUUGUAGGCACAGGAGGUGCCCACUCAUUCCGGAAGGCCCUCAGUCUGCACACCUGGGGGAUGGCAAAUGUCCAAGUCAAGUCAUAUCCCUGAAAGUAUUAGGGAGGGAAACAAACCACACCACUGAGUUCUGCACUGGAGGGGAAAGCCACACGAAGCGACCAGUCAGCCUGGAUCUUGGCUCUCAGACUCGACUCCCUCAGUGACCCAUAUGAAACACGUCUCAUUCCUCACCGCGUAGAGCAGUGGAGCCAACGCCACGCCCUUACAGUUCACGCUCCCGCUUGCUUCUUAGCAGAUGGGGUCUGAUUAUCAAAUUGUUCCUCCUAAGCCCACUCGUACCAAUGGCACUUCAGACAAUAACUAGCGAGUGUUGUCAACACUCCAUCGUCAGAGCUACCGCUGGCAAGAAGCAUUUGGGCCAAGACUGAGAAUGACACGUGUCUACAUUUCCAGCUUUGCAAUCAACGUGGAAAUGAGUCGACUUAUAGACGUGGAGUGAUCUUACAGAAAGGACUCCAGCUGCAGAUGAAAUACCAAGCCCAGGGUGAUAAACAGAGCAGAGGCAUUCAGCAUUUUCCUCUCAGCUGUUGCAGACUGAGGGCCUUGGCCGUGGGGCGGGCUUGGCAGGAGCUGCUGAGUUAUUUCUGGAGACCUUCAAGGUCUGUGGUCCCCGAGAGGAAUGUGAGCCGCAGGGACCGAUGGGAAGUCACAUGACAAGGUAGAAGAGGGAAGGGGUAGGUAUAGUUUGACCAGCACAAAGCUGCUGUUUUUGCCUUUUCUGCAUCAUUCAAUAAAAAGAUUUAUUCACUCAUUUAUGUAAAAAUGUAUUUGGGCAUAUAUUAAACACUCACUGAACAACCA
ensembl:lncRNA